CACGUAGGCGGAUAUUUAAGUCAGGGUGAAAUCCCAGAGCUCAACUCUGGAACUGCCUUUGAUACUGGGAAGCUAGAAUCUUGGAGAGGCGAGUGGAAUUCCGAGUGUAGAGGUGAAAUUCGUAGAUAUUCGGAAGAACACCAGUGGCGAAGGCGACUCGCUGGACAAGUAUUAACGCUGAGGUGCGAAAGCGUGGGGAGCAAACA
rnacentral:rRNA from 1 species